UACGUAGGUGGCGAGCGUUAUCCGGAUUUAUUGGGUUUAAAGGGUGCGUAGGCGGCUUUAUAAGUCGGUGGUAAAAGGUAGCCGCUUAACGGUUUUACAUGCCAUCGAUACUGUAGAGCUUGAGAUAUUUGGAGGUAGCUAGAAUUCCUGGUGUAGCGGUGAAAUGCAUAGAUACCAGGAGGAAUACCGAUUGCGAAGGCAUGUUACUACGAAUAAACUGACGCUGAUGCACGAAAGCGUGGGGAUCAAACAGG
rnacentral:rRNA from 1 species